rnacentral:rRNA from 1 species
UACGAAGGGGGCUAGCGUUGCUCGGAAUCACUGGGCGUAAAGGGUGUGUAGGCGGGUCUUUAAGGCAGGGGUGAAAUCCUGGAGCUCAACUCCAGAACUGCCUUUGAUACUGGCGAUCUUGAGUCCGGAAGAGGUGAGUGGAACUCCUAGUGUAGAGGUGGAAUUCGUAGAUAUUAGGAAGAACACCAGUGGCGAAGGCGGCUCACUGGUCCGGUACUGACGCUGAGGUGCGAAAGCGUGGGGAGCAAACAGG